AAACCUGCAAAGAGAACGACCCGCGAACACGUUCAAACACUGGGGGGGCCGCGCGGGGGGGGUGUUUGGGCUGCCCCGCGCGUCUCCCCUCCGCCCCGAUGCGGCCUUUGUGCUCGUUUUUGGGGCCAAAACGAACCCCGGCGCGGAAAGGCCAAGGAAUACUAAAUUGAGAGCCCUCCCCCCGCGCCCCGUCCGCGGAGCGGGSGGGGGGGAUGAAAACGACUYUCGGCAACGGAUAUUUUGGCUCUCGCAUCGAUGAAGAACGUAGCGAAAUGCGAUACUUGGUGUGAAUUGCAGAAUCCCGGGAACCAUCGAGUUUUUGAACGCAAGUUGCGCCCGAAGCCAUUAGGCCGAGGGCACGUCUGCCUGGGCGUCACGCAUCGCGUCGCCCCCUGCACGCCGCAGGGCGUCGCGGGGGCGGAUACUGGUCUCCCGUGCSCCUCGAGCCCGCGGCUGGCCUAAAUGCGAGUCCACGUCGAUGGACGUCGCGGCAUGUGGUGGUUGUAACUCAACUCUCUUGUGCCGCGGCCACAACCCGUYGCGUGUGCGGACUCCCCGGACAAUCAAAACGCUAGGCGCUCGACC
rnacentral:misc_RNA from 1 species